AUAGGAAAAAUUUAGAAAUUAAUGAGACACCGAUAUAAGCUGAUUGAAAUGCGGCGCGAAAGGGGAGGGACUUAUAUCAGAAAUAACCCAUUUGAAUCACAAAGGCGCGAGUUUGGGUUCUGGAACGGGUCGACGCGCGGAUCCCCUCCCCCCUAAACGACAUCGUUUUCUUUUGUUAUCAAAACUAAAAAAAUGAAUGGUAAUCUGCUAUUCUCUUCAGCAAUUGAAUCAAAACCCUAAUCCCUCAUGUUUUUCCUCGCUUGGCCGACAAAAGGACCAAAACCUUAGCCAUUUUGAUUCUCAUCGGAUCUAACCGAAAAACUCACACUCAUCACCAUGACACCACUGUAUUUGAUGAUUGGCGAUGAAUAUAUGCCCCUCUUUUACACCGUUUGAAACCACAACUCGUGGAUUACCGAUUUUAACUUUGAAAUCCCAUAUCAAGCUCCGAUCGCGACGAAGGAGAUAGGGACUCCGACGGUGUAUUUACGAUGGUACGGAGCCCCAUUGGAGCGGUGGUACGUGGCGCUUGACGUGGGAUGUACGGGGGCUGUGUGCUGGAGGCUGUUGAAGCGUUGGAGGCUAAGGGCUGCGGCGCUAGGAAACCUUAGGUUUCCGUUUGGCUGAACCUAUGUCUAGGUUUUGGGCCAUUGGGCCUUUUAGGCAUUGGGUUAUUUGAUUGGGCUAGGUUGUUUUGUAAAUGGGCUUGUAACUGGGCUAUUGGGUCUGAUAUGUAAUGGACUGAUAAUUAGAUUUUUUAUUAUUUGGUUUUUUAUUUAUAUUUUGUAUUUUGGUUCUUCUUUGGGCCUGGGCAAAAUGGCCCAUUACAAUUAUUAUUUAAUUGUAUUCUAAAAUAAAUGACAUCAAUUUAAACUGAAAGAA